rnacentral:rRNA from 1 species
AGAGAGUUAAAUAGUACGUGAAAUCGCUUAGAGGUAAACGAGUGAAGCCGAAGAUGUUUUAUGGAAUUCAGUUAACUGUGUGUCUUCUUGAAUUUGGCGAAAUCCAACUAGGAAUUGCUAUUUUUGAGUUUUCAUUAUACAUGCGGUUGAUGCACUUUCUGUAUAACAGUACUGCGACCGAUAGCGUUGUUUUUCUGUCGUAAUUUUGAAGGUGAUCAUUUCUUCGGAAAUGGUUUUAUAGCUGGUUACAUGGUUAAAUGAUUUAUUGGUGAUUGCGAUUAACGGUUAUUGAUUGGUUUAAUGUUGAUGGGGCUUUAAUAGACUAUUUAUAGGCUGUUUUUGAACUAUUGAUGUUUUACAUGGUUGAUGUGUUAAUUUAAAGUCUGCAGUGUAUGUAGGUUACUUACUCGUCCCGUCUUGAAACACGGACCAAGGAGUUUUAUAUGAUCGCGAGUCAAAGGGCUUUACGAAACCCCACGGCGAAAUUAAUGUAAAGGUUUACUUCGGUAAGCUGUGAUGUGACCUCGUGGAAACACAGAGUGCAACAUCGACCCGUCUAAAGAUGUUCGCAUCUGGGCGGAGUUUGAGCGAUCAUGUAGAGACCCGAAAGAUGGUGAACUAUGCUUGUGCAGGUUGAAGCCAGAGGAAACUCUGGUGGAGGACCGCCGCGGUUCUGACGUGCAAAUCGAUCGUCGGACAUGAGUAUAGGGGCGAAAGACUAAUCGAACCAUCUAGUAGCUGGU